rnacentral:rRNA from 1 species
UACGGGGGGGGUAAGCGUUGUUCGGAAUUACUGGGCGUAAAGGGCUCGUAGGCGGCCAACUAAGUCGGACGUGAAAUCCCUCAGCUUAACUGGGGAACUGCGUCCGAUACUGGAUGGCUUGGAUUUGAGAGAGGGAUGCGGAAUUCCAGGUGUAGCGGUGAAAUGCGUAGAUAUCUGGAGGAACACCGGUGGCGAAGGCGGCAUCCUGGACCAAUAUUGACGCUGAGGAGCGAAAGCCAGGGGAGCAAACGGG